rfam:Salmo salar isolate Sally breed double haploid chromosome ssa09, whole genome shotgun sequence.
GUACAUGUGACUCAGUUGGUAGAGCAUGGUGUUUGCAACGCCAGGGUUGUGGGUUGGAUUCCCACGGGGGACC